GCCUGGGUGGCUCAGUUGGUUAAGCGUCUGACUUCGGCUCAGGUCAUGAUCUCACAGUUCGUGAGUUCGAGCCCCGCAUCGGGCU
rnacentral:tRNA from 1 species